ACUUCCGACCGAGGCUCGCGUUUCUUAACAAGACCAAGCGUGUACAAUCACAUGAUAGUCCACAACGUGAUCCCUGCUGAAAUCAAUUAUCUAAGUGAAUUUGCAAAGUCUGCGGUCGCUAGAAUGAGGGGACUACGGAGAAGCCAAUAAUGUCUGUUUGGAGGAGCAGGCUUGUUUUUUGGCCCCUGACAACACAAUUACAGCCCCGUCGAUUGUCGUGUGUGUGCAUUAAGUACCUCCCCCAAAAUGAGGCCGAUUAAUGAAGGGGCUCCUCGGGGCCGAAGAAGAAGCCCCAGGCACCCACACAGAGGAGAGGAACUGUUGUUACGGGAUAGGAUGCUACACUUCAAGGACACUACAAGAUUCCUGCCUGUAAAUAGAUCCAGCAGAUCCAUCCAUCUACAUAUUAUCAGGAUUAAAUAUUUGUUAUAAUUUACAUUUUUAUAAUGUCAUUUUAAAUCAUUAAAUUAUUAUUUCAAUUAUUUUAGGUAUGUUUUAUAAAAAUAAUACACUACCACAGAUGGAAAUUGGUAAUA